GUUUUUACCAGGCCUAUACUGAAACAAACUACUCAAUAUCGGUAUAAAUGUCGGACAAAUUUGUUGCCUUCUACUGGUGUUACCUGUCAAAAAACCUGUCAUAACACAAUUUAAAAAGUUUUUACCAGGCCUAUACUGAAACAAACUACUCAAUAUCGGUAUAAAUGUCGGACAAAUUUGAUGUCUUCUACUAGUGUUACCUGUCAAAAAUCUGUCAUAACACAAUUUAAAGUGUUUACCAGGUAUAUACUGAAACAAACUACUCAAUAUCGUUAUGAAUGUCGGACAAACUUGAUGUCUUCUACUAGUGUUACCUGUCAAAAACCUGUCAUAACA
rnacentral:sRNA from 1 species